CUCAGUGCGGCACACACCUGCUUCUGCUGCCUGCCAAUCAAGACGUAGAACUCUCACCCCCAGCACCAUGUCUGCCUGCAUGCCGCCAUGUUUCCUCUCAGGACAAUAAUGGACUAAACCCCUGAAACUAGAAGGACGAUUAUACUGAAGUAGCUAUUCUGUGGAUUCCACCGACUAAAACGAAGCCACAACCAGAUGAAAGAACUUCUCUGUCUGUGACAGGAUAUGGGCCCUCGGGGUAAUGGCUGUGUUUAGUGGGGAGCAGUCAAGCCAGUUCCAGAAGUUUAGAUUUGCUCAGAAGCAGAGCCCUGGGGGCAGAUACCUGGGCUCAAGAAUCAAGAUCUUCCCUACUAAGCCAGUAGCUCCUAGGCUCAAAGUACCAACUCCGUGCCUGCUAAGUGAACAGAUACUGAGAUUCACGCACCAACUUUGCCCUUACCAGAUGAGCAGUACCAACUCCAUCGCUACUAAGUGAACAGAUACCGAGAUUCAAGUACCAACUUCACCCUUACCAAAUGGGCAGUGCCAACUCUAUCCCUUCCAAGGGCACAAUGUAUUAAAGGUGCUGGCAGUAAUGUUUCCUUCCCCAAAAGCUUUCUGUAACAAUGGAAUAAAACGACAAACCCUCCGCACUCUAGAAUCCCUACUCAGGCUACCUUAACGUUGACAGCUGCCGGGUUCUUGGUUGAAUUCAGCUGCCUAACUACUACUAUGCGUGGCUAGUUUGUUUCACUGCGUUAGGUAUUUCUGACAAAGCCAGCUCUGUGGAGAUGUAAUUCACAUCCUAUAUACUUCUUUCAUUUAAUGUGUAGUGGCUUUACCAUAGGCACAAAGUUGUAGCCAUGAUUACAAUCAAACUUCAGAGCACGUUUCUUUUUGUGUAUAAUAAAUUAUUGGGUGCUUUU